AAGCGCUACUUGGGAGGCAACCCAUGCAAUUCAACAGAGGAAGACCAAGGAAUCACCCCAAUUCCAGAUUUGCGUUCCUAAACUCUUCCCUUUGUUAUUUAUUUUGAAUCUGCCUAUUUAGUUGUUUUAGUUGCUGUUUGUGUGUUUCUUUUUGUUUAGUGUGAUUUCAUGCUUGAAACAUUGAGGACAAUGUUUGAUUUAAGUGUGGGGGGGUAACUAAGUGUUUUAGAUGCAAAUUCGUGGGAUUUUAUCACCCUAAACUUGAAGACUUGUUCCUUGCUGUUUUUAAGUGUUUUUGAGCAGUUUUGAUGUGUUUUAGUGUGUUUUGAAGUAAAAAUCCGAAAAUUACAUAAAAAUUUGAAAAAUUUGUUUUAAAAACCCAAAAAGAGUUGUUUUUGUGUGUUUGUUUGUGUCUUAGGGUACCUUCCAACACAAUGAUGAGGAUUCGGUUUGUAAUUACAUGGCUGUUAAAGAGAGUGAUUCACAUGGAUGAAAGUUUGAUUCACUCUUUGUUAUGCUUAGUUGUGGUUAUAACUUAUGAAUUCACAUGCAAUCAUAAAAGAAAAAAAUCAGUUUUUGUAACAUGCUUGAAGGACAAUGUGUAGAGGAAACACCCCUCCAUGUCGUGGGGUUCAAUAACCUUCAAAGGAGCAUUGUCCGGCUGCAAGACGUAAAAGAAAGCGCUACUUGGGAGGCAACCCAUGCAAUUCAACAGAGGAAGACCAAGGAAUCACCCCAAUUCCAGAUUUGCGUUCCUAAACUCUUCCCUUUGUUAUUUAUUUUGAAUCUGCCUAUUUAGUUGUUUUAGUUGCUGUUUGUGUGUUUCUUUUUGUUUAGUGUGAUUUCAUGCUUGAAACAUUGAGGACAAUGUUUGAUUUAAGUGUGGGGGGGGGUAACUAAGUGUUUUAGAUGCAAAUUCGUGGGAUUUUAUCACCCUAAACUUGAAGACUUAUUCCUUGCUGUUUUUAAGUGUUUUUGAGCAGUUUUGAUGUGUUUUAGUGUGUUUUGAAGUAAAAAUCCGAAAAUUACAUAAAAAUUUGAAAAAUUUGUUUUAAAAACCCAAAAAGAGUUGUUUUUGUGUGUUUGUUUGUGUCUUAGGGUACCUUCCAACACAAUGAUGAGGAUUCGGUUUGUAAUUACAUGGCUGUUAAAGAGAGUGAUUCACAUGGAUGAAAGUUUGAUU
rnacentral:lncRNA from 1 species